rnacentral:misc_RNA from 1 species
GCCAAAACAAAAUUUCAGGAUGAAUAAUGCAGAGAAAACAAAAGUGCAUACAAACAUCAGAAAUUACAACUAUAAUUGAUCACAAAUCUUAUAAAGAAAUUCAUAAAUUCUGAAGUAGAUGCCAUGGUCCAUGUUUCUCACUAUUAAUAAUAAAUGGUGCUUGUAAGCUGGUGCAAGAAUUUUUUUUGGACGAUUAGAGGGUAACAAACUCAAUGGAAGUGCAAAUAUUAGGCACAUCAAUGAUGGAAUAAUAGAGAACUUGGAUAUAAAAUUUCAUGGCUUCCAACUCCAAGAUGAUUAAAAAAGUUCUGCCUAGUACUAAAUGGAAGGUCAAGGAAAUGUUAUACACGGUCAUUGUGCUAAAGAGAAGAGACCCUUUCCUGUGCAACUUGAAUGGUUGCAUAGAAUGUUGAACUGCAAUUACACCCCAUGCACGAUGACAAGCAAUCAUGGCUCAGACUUAAUAAGCUCUUCAACAGAGUUUCUGUACUUGGCUAUUAGGUCCCUCCUCUGAUUUAGCAGUUGCUCACUUUCUUCUACCUUUCUCUUCUGACCCUCAACUGUCAUAGCUUUUGUGUUAAUAGAGACGGAAAUCGAAUUCAGUAACUGCUGGCACUUCUCAAAGUGAUUGUUCAACUCAGUAAUCAAAGCAUCAGAGUGCUGAUCCCGAGUUCCACUCUCGAUAACUUCAGCUAAAUUCUCAACGAGGUGUAAGAGGUGGAAGUGCGAGGCAAGCGACUGAUGGUGCUGAUUCUGUUGCUGUUGCUGUUGCUGCUG